GAAGGGUUCGAGUGUGAG
rnacentral:snRNA from 1 species